rnacentral:rRNA from 1 species
CGCAAGGAAGUAAGAUCCCUGAAAGAUGAUCAGGUUGAUAGGUCUGAGGUGGAAGUGUGGCGACACAUGGAGCUGACAGAUACUAAUCGAUCGAGGACUUAACCUAA